rnacentral:rRNA from 1 species
GACGAACGCUGGCGGCGUGCUUAACACAUGCAAGUCGAACGGUAAGGCCCUUCGGGGUACACGAGUGGCGAACGGGUGAGUAACACGUGGGUGAUCUGCCCUGCACUUCGGGAUAAGCCUGGGAAACUGGGUCUAAUACCGGAUAGGACCCUGGGAUGCAUGUCCUGGGGUGGAAAGCUUUUGCGGUGUGGGAUGGGCCCGCGGCCUAUCAGCUUGUUGGUGGGGUGAUGGCCUACCAAGGCGACGACGGGUAGCCGGCCUGAGAGGGUGACCGGCCACACUGGGACUGAGAUACGGCCCAGACUCCUACGGGAGGCAGCAGUGGGGAAUAUUGCACAAUGGGCGCAAGCCUGAUGCAGCGACGCCGUGUGAGGGAUGACGGCCUUCGGGUUGUAAACCUCUUUCAGCUAUGACGAAGCGCAAGUGACGGUAGUAGCAGAAGAAGGACCGGCCAACUACGUGCCAGCAGCCGCAGUAA